CUAUCUUGCGCGCAAGCCAAUAAUCGUCCUCCGGAGGCGCAGAAAACAUAACUUGAGUUGUGCAGGAUUACGGGCGCGGCUCUCUGCUCGUCCUUUUAUCCCCGGGAGUUGCAAUCGGCAUGCGGCUACCGGGACCCAGGCCGCAAGGCCCCCGGCACCGUGCCGUAACAUACCGUGAGUGUGCAGGAUGUGACCCGAAAGAUGGUGAACUAUGCCUGAUCAGGUUGAAGUCAGGGCAGAUCGAUUGUCAGAAUUGGGCAUAGGGGUGAAAGAUCAAUCGAAUCAUCUAGUAGCUGG
rnacentral:ncRNA from 1 species